rnacentral:rRNA from 1 species
AGCGAACGCUGGCGGUAUGCUUAACACAUGCAAGUCGAGCGCGAAAGUGACUUCGGUCAUAAGUAGAGCGGCGGACGGGUGAGUAACACGUGGAUAAUCUGCCUUUAGGACUGGGAUAACCCUGGGAAACUAGGGCUAAUACCGGAUAAGACCACAGGUUCCAUGGAACCAGGGGUAAAAGGCGGCCUUCGGGCUGUCGCCGAAAGAUGAGUCCGCGUCCCAUCAGGUAGUUGGUGAGGUAACGGCUCACCAAGCCGAAGACGGGUAGCCGACCUUAGCGGGUGAUCGGCCACACGGGGGACUGAGACACGGCCCCGACUCCUACGGGAGGCAGCAGUGGGGAAUCUUGGGCAAUGGGCGCAAGCCUGACCCAGCAAUACCGCGUGAGGGAUGAA